GAGGCUUUAACUUAAUAAAAGUACUUGAUUUGCACUCAAGAGAUGAGAGCUAGUAACUUUCAAGUCUUA
rnacentral:tRNA from 1 species